CAUAACCUGCACUUCCAAUCCAUCACUCAAAUCCAAAUCAUGAAAAAGACCACACAUUGAAAAUGAGAACACACUGAGCUAUGCCAACUUCUGAAAUCAGUUGGAGUUAAAGUUAGUCUUACAAAUGUAUCUCCAGCCCCAAAUUCCAAAAUCUCUCCAUCAUGAUAACAGAUCUCAAAGUAAACAUGACUUUAGUAUCUGUCAUUAUUUGGAUGCUUGCAACUUGCACCUGGAGUUCUGUAGGGCAGAUUCUGACUCAAUCUGAAGAUCAAAUAGUGAAGCCUGAUCAGACUGUCACUAUUCACUGUCAACACACACCAGUAGUGAACUGUGUUAAAAAAGAUACCUCUCAGUACUGCAUGGCCUGGUACCAUCAGAUUCCUGGAGAAGCUCCUAAACUCCUGGUCUAUUACACAUCAGACAGAGCUUCAGGUGUUUCUUCUAGAUUCAGUGGCAGUGGAAGGGACACAGAUUUUACUCUGACAAUCAGUGGAGUCCAGCCUGAAGAUUCAGGAGUUUAUUACUGUCAGAGUCAACAUGGUAUAAAAAAAGACUCAGGGAAUGUAGACUGGGUGUUCACACAGUGUAAAAUCAUCGUACAAAAACCUCUCUGAGUGAGACUGCAGCGCUGCAGCUUUGAGCUUCUGCAGAUGUUGAUGUUGAGGAUCAUUAUUCACCUCACUGACUCACAGAUGAUAAAGAAAAGCUCACGGCCAAAACCAAUAAAAUUCAAAUUAAUUUCACAUUCUAGUUAAUGUGUCAUUUGUGUCAUA